GACGAACGCUGGCGGCGUGCUUAACACAUGCAAGUCGAACGGAAAGGCCCUGCUUUUGUGGGGUGCUCGAGUGGCGAACGGGUGAGUAACACGUGAGUAACCUGCCCUUGACUUUGGGAUAACUUCAGGAAACUGGGGCUAAUACCGGAUAGGAGCUCCUGCUGCAUGGUGGGGGUUGGAAAGUUUCGGCGGUUGGGGAUGGACUCGCGGCUUAUCAGCUUGUUGGUGGGGUAGUGGCUUACCAAGGCUUUGACGGGUAGCCGGCCUGAGAGGGUGACCGGCCACAUUGGGACUGAGAUACGGCCCAGACUCCUACGGGAGGCAGCAGUGGGGAAUAUUGCACAAUGGGCGGAAGCCUGAUGCAGCAACGCCGCGUGCGGGAUGAUGGCCUUCGGGUUGUAAACCGCUUUCGCCUGUGACGAAGCGUGAGUGACGGUAAUGGGUAAAGAAGCACCGGCUACUACGUG
rnacentral:rRNA from 1 species